AUGGCCUGGGCGCAGCUUGCUCUCCCCGUCCUAGCUCUCUGCACAGGGUCCUGGGCCCAGUUUGAGCUGACCCAGCCCUGUUCAGCGUUGCGGUCUGUGGGGCAGAUGGUCACCAUCUCCUGCACCCACAGCAGUGGCAUCAUUGAAGGUGCCUAUGUGGUCUGGUACCAGAAGCGCCCGGGCACUGUGAUUUAUGCUCAUCACCAGAUAUCCUCUGGGGUCCCCGAUAGGCUCUCUGGCUCCAUCAACAGCUCCUCCAGUGCCGCCGCCCUGACCAUCUCUGGGCUGCAGCCCAAGGAUGAGGCUGACUACUACUGUUUGUCUUACCACAGCAGCUAUAGUUCAUAG